UGAGCAAUCUGCCCUUCUCAUCGGAAUAAGCGUUGGAAACGACGUCUAAUGCCGAAUACGACCUCCUUUCGCAUGAUCGGAGGUGGAAAGCUCCGGCGGAGAAGGAUGAGCUCGCGGCCUAUCAGCUAGUUGGUGUGGGUAAUGGCCCACAAGGCGACGACGGGUAGCCGGCCUGAGAGGGCGACCGGCCACACUGGGACUGAGACACGGCCCAGACUCCUACGGGAGCAG
rnacentral:rRNA from 1 species